GAUGAACGCUGGCGGCGUGCCUAAUACAUGCAAGUCGAGCGAACAGACGAGGAGCUUGCUCCUCUGACGUUAGCGGCGGACGGGUGAGUAACACGUGGAUAACCUACCUAUAAGACUGGGAUAACUUCGGGGAACCGGAGCUAAUACCGGAUAAUAUAUUGAACCGCAUGGUUCAAUAGUGAAAGACGGUUUUGCUGUCUCUUAUAGAUGGAUCCGCGCCGCAUUAGCUAGUUGGUAAGGUAACGGCUUACCAAGGCGACGAUGCGUAGCCGACCUGAGAGGGUGAUCGGCCACACUGGAACUGAGACACGGUCCAGACUCCUACGGGAGGCAGCAGUAGGGAAUCUUCCGCAAUGGGCGAAAGCCUGACGUAGCAACGCCGCGUGAGUGAUGAAGGUCUUCGGAUCGUAAAACUCUGUUAUUAGGGAAGAACAAAUGUGUAAGUAACUAUGCACGUCUUGACGGUACCUAAUCAGAAAGCCACGGCUAACUACGUG
rnacentral:rRNA from 1 species